GACGAACGCUGGCGGCGUGCCUAACACAUGCAAGUCAAAGUCUGAGUGACUUCGGUUACAAGGACUUGGCGCAAGGGUGAGUAAGGCAUAGGUAAUCUGCCUUUUGGUCUGGGAUAACCCCGAGAAAUCGGGAACAAUACCAGAUGAUGCAGCGGAACCGCAUGGUUAUGUUGUUAAAGAUUUAUCGCCAAAAGAUGAGCCUAUGUUCCAUCAGGUAGUUGGUAGGGUAACGGCCUACCAAGCCUACGACGGAUAGCUGGUCUGAGAGGAUGAUCAGCCACAUUGGAACUGAGACACGGUCCAGACUCCUACGGGAGGCAGCAGUGAGGAAUAUUGCGCAAUGGGCGAAAGCCUGACGCAGCAACGCCGCGUGGAUGAUGAAGUUCUUCGGAAUGUAAAAUCCUUUUGCAGGGGACGAAUAGGUCGGCUUGCCGGCUGUGACGGUACCCUGCGAAUAAGCCACGGCUAACUCUGUGCCAGCCGCCGCUGUAAGAC
rnacentral:rRNA from 1 species